AGAGUUUGAUCAUGGCUCAGGAUGAACGCUAGCUACAGGCUUAACACAUGCAAGUCGAGGGGCAGCAUUAGGUAGCAAUACUGAGAUGGCGACCGGCGCACGGGUGCGUAACGCGUAUCCAACCUUCCCGUUACUCUUGGAUAGCCUUCCGAAAGGGAGAUUAAUACAAGAUGGUGUUUCAAAUUCGCAUGUAAAUGAAACUAAAGAUUUAUCGGUAACGGAUGGGGAUGCGUGACAUUAGGUAGAUGGCGGGGUAACGGCCCACCAUGCCUACGAUGUCUAGGGGUUCUGAGAGGAAGGUCCCCCACACUGGAACUGAGACACGGUCCAGACUCCUACGGGAGGCAGCAGUGAGGAAUAUUGGUCAAUGGCCGGAAGGCUGAACCAGCCAAGUAGCGUGAAGGAUGAAGGUUCUAUGGAUUGUAAACUUCUUUUAUACGGGAAUAAAACCUCCCACGUGUGGGAGCUUGUAUGUACCGUAUGAAUAAGCAUCGGCUAACUCCGUGCCAGCAGCCGCGGUAAUACGGAGGAUGCGAGCGUUAUCCGGAUUUAUUGGGUUUAAAGGGAGCGUAGACGGGAGAUUAAGUCAGUUGUGAAAGGCUGCGGCUCAACCGCAGCACUGCAGUUGAUACUGGUUUCCUUGAGUUCGGUUGAGGUGUAUGGAAUUCGUGGUGUAGCGGUGAAAUGCUUAGAUAUCACGAAGAACUCCGAUUGCGAAGGCAGUACACUAAGCCGUCACUGACGUUGAGGCUCGAAAGUGUGGGUAUCAAACAGGAUUAGAUACCCUGGUAGUCCACACGGUAAACGAUGAAUACUCGCUGUUGGCGAUACAAUGUCAGCGGCCAAGCGAAAGCAUUAAGUAUUCCACCUGGGGAGUACGCCGGCAACGGUGAAACUCAAAGGAAUUGACGGGGGCCCGCACAAGCGGAGGAACAUGUGGUUUAAUUCGAUGAUACGCGAGGAACCUUACCCGGGCUUAAAUUGCAGAGGACAGGUCUAGAGAUAGACUCUUCUUCGGACCUCUGUGAAGGUGCUGCAUGGUUGUCGUCAGCUCGUGCCGUGAGGUGUCGGCUUAAGUGCCAUAACGAGCGCAACCCUUAUCUUUAGUAGCCAGCGAGUAAAGUUGGGCACUCUAGAGAGACUGCCGGGGAUAACCCGGAGGAAGGUGGGGAUGACGUCAAAUCAUCAUGCCCCUUAUGACCAGGGCUACACACGUGCUACAAUGGCGUAAACAGAGGGAAGCGAAAGUGUGAGCUGGAGCAAAUCCCAAAAAUAACGUCCCAGUUCGGAUUGUAGUCUGCAACUCGACUACAUGAAGCUGGAAUCGCUAGUAAUCGCGAAUCAGAAUGUCGCGGUGAAUACGUUCCCGGGUCUUGCACUCACCGCCCGU
rnacentral:rRNA from 1 species